GACGAACGCUGGCGGCGUGCCUAAUACAUGCAAGUCGAACGCAUUUUCUUUCACCGUAGCUUGCUACACCGAAAGAAAGUGAGUGGCGAACGGGUGAGUAACACGUGGGUAACCUGCCCAUCAGCGGGGGAUAACACUUGGAAACAGGUGCUAAUACCGCAUAAUUCCAUUUACCGCAUGGUAGAUGGAUGAAAGGCGCUUUUGCGUCACUGAUGGAUGGACCCGCGGUGCAUUAGCUAGUUGGUGGGGUAACGGCCUACCAAGGCUGCGAUGCAUAGCCGACCUGAGAGGGUGAUCGGCCACACUGGGACUGAGACACGGCCCAGACUCCUACGGGAGGCAGCAGUAGGGAAUCUUCGGCAAUGGACGCAAGUCUGACCGAGCAACGCCGCGUGAGUGAAGAAGGUUUUCGGAUUGUAAAACUCUGUUGUUAGAGAAGAACAAGGAUGAGAGUGGAAAGUUCAUCCCUUGACGGUAUCUAACCAGAAAGCCACGGCUAACUACGUG
rnacentral:rRNA from 1 species